GCCGCCGCCGCCACGCACGAGACCCCGGCGAUGGCGGAGAACAGCACGCACCUGCUCGACGCCCUCUGCCGCCACCGCGAGCUCCUGAGGAGGGAGACGGAGUCCCUGAGGAAGGAGGUCACAUCCCGGGGCCUAUCCACGUUCGCCGGAAAGAAGGCCUACGUGAGCUCCAACUCGACGUCAACGAUCCACGCGCCGCCGCAGCUGGUCGACCCCACCACAACCACCUUGCACCGGGUGAGUCUGCCCUACCUCGUCCGCAACAGCGACGAGGCCCUCGGCCUCCUCCUAACCGAGUCGGACGACAUGCGCCGCCGGAUCGAGUCUCUGGCGUCGAUUCUGAGGGAGCUCGGCGCUGACAGCACCGCUACCACCGGCGUCUCUCCAGAGAAGAUCAAGAUGCUGUACCUCAUGUCCCGCGCAUCCCUGAGAAUCUCCCAAUAUAUGGCCAGGUCUGGAUCAUCCGCCAUUGCCAAGGAGGAGGAUGAUGGAGCUUCUUCUUAUGACCAGCACCGAUACCGUGCCGGCUGGGAGUCCACGUGGGGCAGCAGCAUGGGAGGCUGUGGUUCCUUCUAUGACAUAACCACGUUGAGCCCUAUGCUAUUCACGCCCUCCACGCCUGGUUUUUCCAACUACUCUGCUACCGCCAGCCACGCCUUGCAGAUAUACUCCUUGGAAAUUGUUGACCUCAACGUCAAAUUGAGCUGGCCACUCCACGUGUACGGCGUGGUCGCUGCAAGGGACCCCGUUGACCACAACCGCAACAUUCUCUUCUACCGCUCGAGGCAUAACUACCAACUAGUCACUAAAGAGGAUCCUUACUUGCGCUUGACUGGCCCGUCUCGCGCAAUCGUGGCUGUGGACCGUGUUACAUUUGAAGUUGAGCUGAAAAUAAAGUACCGUGGAGCGGAUCAGCGCCAACAAAAAGCAUCACUCACUUGCAGCUACAGUUACGGGUCUGCGAGGGAUACCACCCCUCUAUUCAGCGGAUAUUGUUGUGCAGCACGGUUAACCCUUGAACAGCUUCGUAGAGCAAUCCAUGCAACUGUCGUGGGUGUCCGAGUUGUUGAAGGGGGGUGGCCUUUCAAAUAUGGAUGCCGAGUUUCUUGCUCCUUCUCUGCUGAUGCAGAGGAUCCCUCGCCUUGGGAGGUUGUGUUGCUUAAUUGUCGUUAUGAUGAAAUCCCCGUGGGAUCAGACGGGUACUUUCGUCUAUCAAGGAAUGUUGUGUCAGUCGAAUUACAAUCAACAAUGAAAGUUAUCAUACAGGCACACUCGAGAUGUGGUCACAAAGUUCGAAAGGGUCAUGUCGAGUUCCCCGUCCAACAUAGCCAAACAAGCAAGGGUUCAUGUUUAGUAGGCAACUCUAGGGUCGAGGUUGUUGUUGCUUGGUCCCUCAUUGUCACGAACAAGAUAGAUCUCAUG
rnacentral:rRNA from 1 species